ACCACUGAAAGCUGGCAGCUUUUUAGGCCACCUGGUACAAAGGUCAAAGCAGGACACCAAAUGUGGGCUCCAUUUGUUCCAGAUCGAUCCCCUGUUACAUAAGAAAUCUCUCAAGGAAAACUGACCUGACGAGGAGAUGGAAUCACUGACACCGGAUGUCUCUCUUAGCAAGAGCAAGGAAUAUCAGAGGGACCUUUCUAAUUCUGAUAUCUCUUGUCAUGUGGUAGCUACUGGACACUGCCCGUCUCAGACAGUUCCUGAUUAUUGCCCUAUAGCACUGGUUCCAAACGACUGUUCCUUCCCUAGG
rnacentral:lncRNA from 1 species